AGAGGAGAGAUGGUGACACUCUGGGGGUCACUGCAGUGGGUGGGCACCAAACCACCCUCUGCUGGCUGGGAAAAAGAGGAUUUCUCACCAAAAACAACCCAGUCACAAAAAUACAGACUUCACAAGCCAAAGAGCUGCCAGCACCUGCCUGGAGCUAUCAGCCAGGGGCCAGGCACUGGUGGCAGGGUGUGACAGCAGCACAGGGACACAGGGGGACACUGAGCUGGGGAGCAGAGCGAUGAAGGUGCAGCUCUCACCACCCCAGCACAGGAACAGCUCUCUCAAGGUGCACCUUUACCAUCCCAGCCCUCUGGAGGUGCAGUUUUCACUAUCCCAGCUCUCUGGAGGUGCAGUUUUCACUAUCCCAGCUCUCUGGAGGUGCAGUUUUCACCAUCCCAGCCCUCUGGAGGUGCAGUUUUCACCAUCCCAGCCCUCUGGAGGUGCAGUUUUCACCAUCCCAGCCCUCUGGAGGUGCAGUUUUCACCAUCCCAGCCCUCUGGAGGUGCAGUUUUCACCAUCCCAGCCCUCUGGAGGUGCAGUUUUCACUAUCCCAGCUCUCUGGAGGUGCAGUUUUCACCAUCCCAGCCCUCUGGAGGUGCAGUUUUCACCAUCCCAGCCCUCUGGAGGUGCAGUUUUCACUAUCCCAACCCUCUGGAGGUGCAGUUUUCACUAUCCCAACCCUCUGGAGGUGCAGUUUUCACUAUCCCAGCCCUCUGGAGGUGCAGUUUUCACUAUCCCAGCCCUCUGGAGGUGCAGUUUUCACUAUCCCAGCCCUCUGGAGGUGCAGUUUUCACUAUCCCAGCCCUCUGGAGGUGCAGCCUGCAGGCUCCAUCCCUCCCCUCUGCAUGACUCUGAGCACACUCAUUUUGGAGUGCAUGUGUCAAUAACUGCUGGGCUGAUGGGAGCAGAUUAGAUGUUCCCAGUGGUUGCCACCAAUAAAUACAAACACCACAAGAAUUUCCAGGUGACAUUCUUAGCAUUGAUGUUUCCACUUCCCAAGAGGUUUCGAGAUCUGAAGAGGAUCUACCUGCAGCAGGUAUGAAUUUACUGACCUCACUGCACCUUGUGUAACAAAUAUCCCAAGGCUCCUCUGAACCAUCCCCCAAAUACUGACAUCAAGGCAUGGCCAGGAGAUCCCAGGGUGUGACACAGGAAUUGGGGGCAGCAGAAAGAACUGCCCAGGCUCAGGGGGAGAUCAGAAAUGCUCACAAGGAGGAGAAGUGUGGGGGGGAAUGGUGAACAGUGAGCACAGGAAAAAAUCAAAGCUGUUAUUAAUGGGAGUUGGGAAGUUCUCAGGAGCAGUUUGGGCCAUGGGCAAUUUCAAAGCCACCAAAUGUUGGAAACUGCACCAGAAACUCAAACUUCAUGAACUGCAUGAGCCACCCAAGCAUGGCUGAUGGACAGAACUGCCCCUGGCAGCUCCUCCUCGCAGAAAUCCCAGCUCCACCUGCAGGAAGUGAUUCAGCCCAUCCUGCCAGGCUGAUCAGGCAGAGCAGGUGCCCAUGGCAGGGCUGCAAUACCUGGGACAAGCUGCUACUGCUCCAUCCCACCUACACAGCCCCCUCAGAGGUUUGUAAACACACACUGCAAACACAUUCCCCAGGGCUGAGCUCACUGCUGCCACGAAACAGCAGCACAGGGCUGCAAAGCCACACCUCAGCACCUGGUCCUGCUGCACUUGUACCUGACACAGGUAACUCCCAAAAGAAUCAGAAUGCUGGGGAUCUUCCCCCUAAGCCAGGUUAAAAAAAAAAAGGAAUUAAAUUUUUAAAUUUUUUGUAACAAAUUGUUGAGAUUCAGUCAAGCAAGAUCUGUCUCCUCCUCAGGGGAGAGCUGCAGGCUGGGAGUGCCUUACAGACAGGUUUGGAGGCAGCCACUCCCUGGCAGGCAGCUGAAGCACCAAAGCUCAGGAGUGGGGUUUGCAUUUCAGCCCCAGGCCUGACCAUGCAGCUGCUCCAUCCUGGCAGGACUGAAGGGAAGAGAGGAGCUCUGCAGGCACCUGGAAAUGCCUCACCAGGGUCCCAUGUGCCAGGGAUGAGAGAGAGCUGGGCCAGGGCAGGGCACAGCAGCAGGGCUGCCACCCUGGCUGGAUUGAUUAGAGCUGUGCUGGAUGGCCUCAGUGCCACUAAUUACCCACUAAUGAAGCCCUGCCAGAGCUGGGGCUCACUGCACACCCAGAGAAUAGCUGGAAUUCCUAGAACUGCUCUGGGUACCCAACCUACCCCAGCUCCACCUCGUAAUCGAGCUAAAUCCCUCUUUAAGAACCCUUAAACCCUGGAAUUUGACCUUUGGAAACCUUGAUUUGCUGAAAUACUUUGCAGUGGACAGACUUGCCAAUGAAUACUUGCAAAUCUCAUUGAGAGGCCUGUGCUGCUGUAUCCCAUUCCCAGCCUUACAUAAACCCCCCAUCACAUGGGCAACAGUUACAAAACAUCCCAGCGUGGAAAUUUCCUCCCUAAACACGAGAUAUUUUAACACCCAAACACAAUUUCACAUUUCUUUAACCCAAAGAAAUACCUCUGCAGGUUUUGGUUAUUCCCAAAGUUUAGCUCAGCAUGUUAAACAGCUGUGCAGUGGGACACAGGCUUGGAAAGAUUUAUAUUUAUAUU